rnacentral:rRNA from 1 species
AGAGUUUGAUCAUGGCUCAGAUUGAACGCUGGCGGCGUGCCUAACACAUGCAAGUCGAGCGGUAACGCGGGAGCAAUCCUGGCGACGAGCGGCGAACGGGUGAGUAAUAUUUCGGAAUCUACCCACGGGUGGGGAAUAACUAGCCGAAAGGUUAGCUAAUACCGCAUAAGUCCGUAAGGGGAAAGCGGGGGAUCGCAAGA